GAUGAACGCUGGCGGCGUGCCUAAUACAUGCAAGUCGAGCGGACGGACGAGGAGCUUGCUUCUUUGAUGUUAGCGGAGGGCGGGUGAAUAACACGUGUAUCCCCUACCUGUCAGAGUGAUAUCACUUCGGAACACGGGCGCUUAUCCCGGAUAAUCUUUUGAACCACAUGGGUCAAUAGAAAGAUACGGUGUUUCUGGCAGUUAUAGAUGGAUCUGCGCUGCAUUAGCUAGUUGUUAAGGUAACGGCUUACCAAGGCAACGAGGCGUAGCCGACCUGAGAGGGUGAUCGGCCACCCUGGAGCUGAGACACGGUCCAGACUCCUACGGGAGGCAGCAGUAGGGAAUCGUACGCAAUGGGCGAAAGCCUGACGGAGCAACGCCGCGUGAGUGAUGAAGGUCUUCGGAUCGUAAAACUGUGUUAUUAGGGAAGAACAGAUGUGUAAGGAACUGUGCACAUCUUGACGGUACCUAAUCAGAAAGCCACGGCUAACUACGUG
rnacentral:rRNA from 1 species